rnacentral:rRNA from 1 species
CAGUAGCGUAUAUUAAAGUUGUUGCAGUUAAAAUGCUCGUAGUUGAAGUUCGGAUGCAGCAGAGCUUGGAGACGCUGUUAUGGUGCUUCCGUUGCUUUUGCUUGUCCACAGUGCGUUGCAAGUACGUAUGUGCUUGUGCGUGCAUUUUACUUUGAGAAACAUAGGGUGUUCCACGCAUGUUACGGCAUGAAUAUUCCAGCAUGGGAUAAUCUGGUACGACUUCCAAUCUGCCAUUUUGGUUCGUAGGUUGGAAGUAAUGAUUAAUAGGGACUGUCGGGGGCAUUGGUAUUUGACUGUCAGAGGUGAAAUUCUUAGAUUCGUUGAGGACCAACCACUGCGAAAGCAUUUGUCAAGGAUGUCUNCAUUAA